UGGAUAUGAUGACAGCUGAGGUGUGGCGCUGGCGUGAGUGAAUGCUGAACAGAACAAUGUUUAGGUUAAUGUUUAAAGUGUAGUUUAUGUAAUGGGGUGUGUGUGUGUGUGUGUGUGUGUCUGAGGGUGGGGGUGUCAGAGAUCAGUGCUGAUACAGGAGUGCAUCUGAGGCGGCCGCUCACACAGAGGCUUCUCUGCGGUCCAGCUGAUGAUUAGAGCCUCGCUAUCAUCCUCUCCCUCAGCCGCCGGCGCCACAGUCUCAGCAGGGCCCGUGACCCGUCACACACGCCCUGCGAUCUGAUCCGA